GUUCUUUGAAUCAGGGCAAUCGCGGCGGUAGAUGAACUUGAUUAGGCAGACGCGUGAGAUCAAAGUGGCCGGGACCAAAGCGGACAGGGUCCAACGUGCCAGCACUGCCAAGAGAAGGCCUUUUGUACUCAGGUUAAAUAAGAACAUCCUGCAAGGAGUCUGUUCUUUUAUGCAGCCUAAAGAUCAAGUAAUAAUCAUUGACACUGAUACUGAGCAUGUCGAUUUUGAAGAGACUAGCAUGAACCUUGAAGAAUCAUGUUCUUCCUAGGAAUUACAAAUCCCCCGAUUCCAUGUCUAACAUAAUUUCUACUGGCCUCUUUGCUUCUCAUGCUUUAGUACCAGUGCUUCUGAAUUUGAAAGUCUUCAUGCAAAUUGCCCAGGUUUGCUGGCAGCUGUGUCUCAGAAAAAGCUGUCUUCAGCAAGGCAGAAGCAGGCUGGCAGUGCCUCCUAUAAAUAUUUAUUAAAAGCGGCAAGAUCACGGAGGUCUCUGGAGCGAAAUCACAGCCAGGUUUUAUGAAAACAGAUCCGAGAAGCUGAGA
rnacentral:lncRNA from 1 species